rnacentral:rRNA from 1 species
AGUCUGAACCAGCCAAGUAGCGUGCAGGAUUGACGGCCCUAUGGGUUGUAAACUGCUUUUGUUGGGGAGUAAAGUGAGGCACGCGUGCCUUUUUGCAUUUACCCUUCGAAUAAGGACCGGCUAAUUCCGUGCCAGCAGCCGCGGUAAUACGGAAGGUCCAGGCGUUAUCCGGAUUUAUUGGGUUUAAAGGGAGUGUAGGCGGUCUGUUAAGCGUGUUGUGAAAUUUAGGUGCUCAACAUCUAACUUGCAGCGCGAACUGGCGGACUUGAGUGCACGCAACGUAUGCGGAAUUCAUGGUGUAGCGGUGAAAUGCUUAGAUAUCAUGACGAACUCCGAUUGCGAAGGCAGCGUACGGGAGUGUUACUGACGCUUAAGCUCGAAGGUGCGGGUAUCGAACAGGAUUAGAUACCUUGGUAGUCCGCACGGUAAACGAUGGAUGCCCGCUGUUAGCGCCUGGCGUUAGCGGCUAAGCGAAAGCAUUAAGCAUCCCACCUGGGGAGUACGCCGGCAACGGUGAAACUCAAAGGAAUUGACGGGGGCCCGCACAAGCGGAGGAACAUGUGGUUUAAUUCGAUGAUACGCGAAGAACCUUACCCGGGCUG